GCAGAGUAGAAUAACAGAUGGCGAUGGGACCUUUCCGAAUCUCAACAGGUGUCGUGAAAUGGCAUAUGCAAGUAGUACAUCUUUGGGAGUGCGACUUACUGAGGGAGAGGGGAAUUUGCCCAAGCUUGUGCUCACUUCCCCGGCCGGUAGUGAGGCUGAGAUAUACCUGUUUGGAGGUUUCAUUACUUCUUGGAAAGUUCCCAGUGGUAAGGACCUCCUCUUUGUUCGCCCCGACGCUGUUUUCAAUGGGAACAAACCGAUAAGUGGUGGUGUUCCGCAUUGUUUUCCACAGUUUGGUCCUGGUCCAAUUCAGCAGGUACGUGUGCAUCUUUAAUCCACGCUAUUUUCUGCACUUCUUCUUGUUCUUUUUUCCUGUAUAUUUUACUUUUUUUAUGUUAUAUCUGCUGAAUUAAAAUACAAAAAUCUGAGUAUUUUUAAUUAAUAAAACUUACUUCUCUUCAGUGAAAUCAUGAGUGGUGUGAUGACUUCAUUAUGCUGACCUUCUUUUCCAUUGUAUGCUUAUGCUUUCGUUUUUAAAUCAUGAGUGGUGUGGAUUGGACUGUUGUUGAUUCUGAAAACACAUAAGGAAAUCCUGUUGUAACUCUGGAGCUGAAGGAUGGUCCUUAUAGUUGUACUGUGUGGGAUUUCAGCUUCCAUGCUUUAUUCAAGGUCACACUAAAUGCUAAAAGUCUAGCGACUGAGUUAACAGUUAAAAAUACAGACAAUAAAGCAUUCUCAUUUAGUACCACCUUGCACACAUAUUUUCAAGCUUCUGUGAGUAAUGCAUCAGUAAAGGGGUUGAAAGGUUGCAAAACUCUGAACAAAGAUCCAGAUCCUAAAAAUCCAGUGUAGGGUAAGGAAGAAAGGGAAGUUGUCACUUUCCCUGGAUUUGUAGAUUGUGCUUAUCUUGAUGCUUCCAGUGAGUUGCAACUUGACAAUGGUUUGGGUGAUCUGAUAUCUAUCAAGAACACAUUGAUCAGAUGCUGUGUUGUGGAAUCCUUACCUUCAAAUGGAAGCAUGCUACAAAGAUUUUGUUUGCGUUGAAAAUGCUAAGAUUGGAAGUGUCCAGCUAGAGCCAGAACAAACUUGGACAGCUGUGCAGCAUCUUAGCAUAGCUUGAACUGUAAAUGUGCUUCUACAUCAGCAAUUAUUUUUGUCUUAUUUGAUACCCCAACAAAUAUGUAUCUUCUGUAUUAGUAAUUUUCUAUGCCACUACUAGUGGCAAGGGAGGGAUAGUGUACAAGAGGUAAACCUCAUUUAAACCUCAUUACGUUCGUAACAUUAUUGUAACAACAAAAAGGAAUAAUAAUUUAUUCUUUUUCUUUUUCUUUUA